rnacentral:rRNA from 1 species
AAAGGAAUAGACGGGGGCCCGCACAAGCGGUGGAGCAUGUGGUUUAAUUCGACGCAACGCGAAGAACCUUACCAGGUCUUGACAUCCCCUGACAACAUCAGAGAUGAUGUGUUUGGUUUUCGGACCGACAGGGAGACAGGUGGUGCAUGGUUGUCGUCAGCUCGUGUCGUGAGAUGUUGGGUUAAGUCCCGCAACGAGCGCAACCCUUAUUCUUAGUUGCCAGCACUAAAGGUGGGCACUCUAAGGAGACUGCCGGUGAUAAACCGGAGGAAGGUGGGGAUGACGUCAAAUCAUCAUGCCCUUUAUGACCUGGGCUACACACGUGCUACAAUGGCCUGUACAAAGGGCAGCGAAGCAGUGAUGCGGAGCCAAUCCCAAAAAGCAGGUCUCAGUUCGGAUUGCAGGCUGCAACUCGCCUGCAUGAAGUCGGAAUCGCUAGUAAUCGCGGAUCAGCAUGCCGCGGUGAAUACGUUCCCGGGCCUUGCACACACCGCCCGU